rnacentral:tRNA from 1 species
GUCCUGAUGGCGUAACUGGUUAACGCGCCUGACUUCUAAUCAGGAGAUUCCGGGUUCGAGUCCCGGUCAGGAUG